rnacentral:rRNA from 1 species
AGUGAACGCUGGCGGUAGGCCUAACACAUGCAAGUCGAACGGCAGCACAGUAAGAGCUUGCUCUUACGGGUGGCGAGUGGCGGACGGGUGAGGAAUACAUCGGACUCUACUUUUUCGUGGGGGAUAACGUAGGGAAACUUACGCUAAUACCGCAUACGACCUACGGGUGAAAGCAGGGGAUCUUCGGACCUUGCGCGAUUGAAUGAGCCGAUGUCGGAUUAGCUAGUUGGCGGGGUAAAGGCCCACCAAGGCGACGAUCCGUAGCUGGUCUGAGAGGCUGAUCAGCGACACUGGAACUGGACCACGGUCCAGACUACUGCGGGAGGCAGCAGUGGGGAAUAUUGGACAAUGGGCGCAAGCCUGAUCCAGCCAUACCGCGUGGGUGAAGAAGGCCUUCGGGUUGUAAAGCCCUUUUGUUGGGAAAGAAAAGCAGCAGGUUAAUACCCCGCUGUUCUGACGGUACCCAAAGAAUAAGCACCGGCUAACUUCGUG